AUGGCAAAAAAGAAAGCAUGCAUUCCCCUUCUAUGUCUUACAUCUAUAGUCUUUUUGCCCUGGUGCAUCUCUUUUACAUUUCAGAAAAGUCUGGAAUCUUGGAUUACUAAUUGGUGGAAUAUGAAAGAAUCCGAAAUUGUCUUGAAUACUAUUCAAGAAAAAAGUAUUUUAAAGAAAUUGCUAGAGUUCGAGGAACUGUUCCUCUUGGAUGA